AGAGUUAUCAUACUCUAUAAACUAUGA
rfam:Soil-borne wheat mosaic virus genomic RNA2